UACAGGGGGUGCAAACGUUGCUCGGAAUUAUUGGGCGUAAAGCGCGCGUAGGCGGCUACUUAUGUCGGAUGUGAAAGCCCUUGGCUCAACUGAGGAAGUGCACCCGAAACUGAGUAGCUGGAGUACGAAAGAGGGUCGCGGAAUUCCCGGUGUAGAGGUGAAAUUCGUAGAUAUCGGGGAGGAACACCGGUGGCGAAGGCGGCUCUCUGGGACGGUACUGACGCUGAGACGCGAAAGCGUGGGGGAGCGAACAGG
rnacentral:rRNA from 1 species